UACGUAGGUGACAAGCGUUGUCCGGAUUUACUGGGCGUAAAGCGCCUGUAGGCGGCGGUGCAAGUCCGGCCUGAAAGCCCCCGGCUCAACCGGGGAGGGUGGCUGGAAACUGUGUCGCUUGAGGGCGAGAGAGGAGGGUGGAAUUCCUGGUGUAGCGGUGAAAUGCGUAGAGAUCAGGAGGAACACCCGUGGCGAAGGCGGCCCUCUGGCUCGACCCUGACGCUGAGAGGCGAAAGCGUGGGGAGCGAACAGG
rnacentral:rRNA from 1 species